rnacentral:misc_RNA from 1 species
GAAAGAUGUGUUAACAGGAAAAUUUAAUGUUUGAAAAUGGCUACAAAUGAACUAUUAGAACUGCCUAAAUAACCAUCCCACUGGAAACAAGAUAACUAAUAAUUUCCAUGACGGCAAUUGAAAUUCCAGUUCCAGCCAGCCUUUAAAACACGUACAAAUUACCAAGUAUAGCGCCAUAUUUAACAACCAUAGCCAUAGCAAACUAAAGCUAUACAAUAAGUUAUCCAAGUCAAAAAUACGACCCAUGUAACUAAUAUCUUAAAGUCCUCUAAUACAUUUUCUUGCUUCAACAAACUUCUUGUGACUUCCAACAUGCUAGGAUAACCUUAACCAAAAGAUAAAACUCUUUCAAGCUUCUCUAACUUCCACAAGCCAUGCACUCUUCACGAUUGGCAAGAGAGCAAACCACCUGAGCCAUUUUGGUAUCAUCAUCUUCAGCACCCACCUUCUGCUUCUUUUCUUUAAGAAGAGAAGUAUCAACAGUGAACUUGAUGGCAUCUGCUGCAGCACGUGAUCUUAGAUAAUACAUUCCCGUCUUUAAACCCUUGGACCAAGCAUAGAAGUGCAAGGAAGUUAAUUUUCCAAAAUUGGGUUGAUCCAUGUGUAUGUUAAGGCUUUGACUCUGAUCUAUAUAACAUCCUCGAUCAACUGCCAUAUCUACCAAUGUUUUCUGCUUGAUCUCCCAAACAGUCUUGUAUAUAAGCUUCAAUUCAUCAGGGAUUUCUGGAAUUUUCUGAACAGAGCCAUCCUCAUAAAUUAUUUUGUUCUUGAGAGCAGGAGACCAGAGACCCAUCUCAGUUAAGUCAUGAAGUAGAUGUUUGUUGACAACAACAAAUUCACCACUUAAAACUCUGCGACUAUAGAUAUUGGAAGUGUAUGGCUCAAAGCACUCAUUGUUUCCAAGAAUCUGACUGGUUGAAGCAGUUGGCAUUGGGGCCACAAGAAGUGAAUUUCUUACUCCAUUCUUCGAUACCAUUUCCCUAAGGGCAUCCCAGUUCCAUCGACUUGUUGGAGUUACACCCCACAUGUCAGGCUGUAGAAUUCCCUUGCUUACAGGACUUCCUUCAUAUGUUUCAUAGGGACCAUCUCUUGCAGCUAUCUUAGAAGAAGCUUUUAGAGCAUGGUAAUAAAUGGUUUCAAAUAUAUCCUUAUUCAGCUGUUGAGCCUCUGGCGAAUCAAAUGCCAUUCCCAGUAAGAUGAAGGUGUCUGCUAGACCCUGAACUCCAAUGCCAAUGGGCCUAUGUCGAAAAUUUGACCUUUUUGCAUUUUCAACAGGGUAGUAAUUAACAUCAAUGAUUUUGUUAAGAUUGGAGGUAACUACUUCAGUAAUCUCUGCUAGUUUGUCAAAAUCAAAGUAUCUAUCCUUAGAACCUCUACUUCCAACAAGCUUAGAUGGAUGUGACUCCAUUGGAACACCGUUUUCUCUGACAAAUCGAGGUAGAGCAAUAGAUGCCAAAUUGCACACAGCAGUUUCUGUUGGACUUGUAUAUUCAAUUAUCUCAGUACACAAAUUUGAAGAUUUUAUGGUACCCAGAUUCUGCUGGUUACUUUUUCUAUUGGAGGUAUCCUUAAAAACCAUAUAGGGGGUCCCAGUUUCUAUCUGGGAUUUCAAAAUUUCAAACCAGAGGUUCUGUGCUUGGACAACCUUCUUUGCCUUGCCCUCUCUCUCAUAUUGGGUAUACAGUUUGUCAAAUUCUUCACCCCAACAAUCUGACAAACCUGGAGCCUCAUUAGGGCAAAAUAAUGACCAUUGCCCAUUACUUUGAACUCUUUCCAUAAAAAGAUCAGGCACCCAAAGUGCAUAGAAUAAAUCCCGAGCCCGGUGUUCCUCCUUCCCAUGGUUCUUUCUGAGAUCCAGAUACUCAAAUAUAUCAGCGUGCCAUGGUUCCAAGUACACAGCAAAAGCACCUUUCCUCUUGCCUCCUCCUUGAUCAACAUAACGGGCAGUAUCAUUGAACACCCGUAACAUGGGAACAAUACCAUUAGAUGUCCCAUUUGUUCCACGAAUAUAGCCGCCAGUAGCACGAAUAUUGUGAAUAGAGACGCCAAUUCCUCCAGCAGAUUUGCUGAUAACAGCACACUCCUUCAAAGUAUCAUAUAUGCCUUCAAUACUAUCAUCUUUCAUGCAUACCAAAAAGCAGCUGCUCAACUGGGGCCUUGGUGUUCCAGCAUUGAAAAGGGUGGGAGAAGCGUGUGUGAACCAUCGCUGAGACAUCAAAUGAUAGGUUUCAAUAACCGAAUCAAUAUCAUCCUUGUGAAUUCCAACAGCAACCCUCAUUAGCAUGUGCUGAGGUCUCUCCACAACCUUCCCUUGAACUUUUAAGAGGUAGGACCUUUCCAGGGUCUUAAAGCCAAAGUAAUCAUAGUUGAAGUCCCGAUCAUAAAUGAUUUCACUGUCCAAACAAGCAGCAUUCUUCAUGAUUAUCUCAUAAACAUCAUCAGCAAUCAAAGGAGCCUUUAGUCCAGAUCUCUCAUUAAAAUGGUUGUACAUGAUUUUAAUCGUCUCUGAAAAUGAUUUCUUUGUGUUCUUGUGCAGAUUUGAAACAACAAUCCUUGCAGCCAAAGAGGCAUAGUCAGGAUGAUUGGCAGUCAUGGCUGCAGCAGUCUCAGCAGCCAAUUCAUCGAGCUGGCUGGUGGUAACGCCCUUGUAGACACCAGCGCACACUUUCUGGGACACCAACACAGGGUCACAGUGCUCCAUACUCAACCCAUAGCUCAGCUUCUUCAAUCUAGCAGUAAUCUUAUCGAAGUGCACCGCUUCCUGCCUCCCAUCUCUCUUCACCACAUACAUUUUCUCUCAAUCCUGUUUUUUUUCCCCCUCUCAGACGACUUUUAUCAAACAGGUUUUAGCUGCAGAGAGGAACGAGGGAAAGGAGCGUCUUAUAUAGAGUGAGCGAGGGAUUUUUGAAUUUUAGGGAUUGCUAGGGUUUUAUUAUUUUCCUAUUUUAAGCGGGGAUUUGAAAUUUUGGCGCCAAAAUGGUGAAGGAGCGUUUUUGCUUUUCUUUGGGGUGUAGUGUGGUGGGGUGCGGCGGUGGAGGAGGUGCAGGGAGGAGGAGGAAGAGCUGGCAAUGAGCUGCGGGCGUGGGAGGGGUCCACUGCUUGGUCUUUUUUUAAGAAAAAGUGAAUUUUGAGUUUUGAUUCUAUGGAUUUG